rnacentral:rRNA from 1 species
GACGAACGCUGCGGCGUGCUUAACACAUGCAAGUCGAACGAUGAAGAAAAGAAUCGAAGCUUCGGCAGAAAUUCAUUUCGGAUUAGUGGCAGACGGGUGAGUAACGCGUGAGCAACCUACCUCUUACAAAGGGAUAGCCUCGGGAAACCGGGAUUAAUACCAUAUAACAUUGUGACGAAGCAUUUCGAUGCAAUCAAAGCUACGGCGGUAAGAGAUGGGCUCGCGUCCCAUUAACCGGAUGGUGAGGUAACGGCUCACCAUAGUGACGAUGGGUAACCGGCCUGAGAGGGUGAACGGUCACACUGGAACUGAGACACGGUCCAGACUCCUACGGGAGGCAGCAGUGGGGAAUAUUGCACAAUGGAGGGAACUCUGAUGCAGCGACGCCGCGUGAGUGAUGAAGGAAUUCGUUUCGUAAAACUCUGUUCUAUGGGAAGAAAAGGACUGUACCAUAGGAGAAAGCUCCGGCUAAAUACGU